rnacentral:rRNA from 1 species
AGGACAAACGCUGGCGGCGUGCAUAACACAUGCAAGUCGAACGAGCCUAGCGAUAGGCGAGUGGCGGACGGGUGAGGAACACGUGGAUGACCGACCUUUUACUGGGGGAAUACCCGUGGGAAACCACGGCUAAUACCGCAUACGUUCGAGAGAAGAAAGCCUUCGGGCGGUAAGAGACGGGUCUGCGGUCGAUUAGCUAAUUGGUGCGGUAACGGCGUACCAAGGCGACGAUCGAUAGCUGGUCUGAGAGGAUGAUCAGCCACAUUGGGAUUGAGAACGGCCCAAAUCCCUACGGGGAGCAGCAGUGAGGAAUAUUCGGCAAUGGGCGCAAGCCUGACCGAGCGACGCCGCGUGGGGGAUGACGCAUUUCGGUGUGUAAACCCUUUCUGUGGGACGAGAUGGACGGUACCACAGGAAUAAGUCUCGGCUAACUACGUGCCAGCAGCCGC